UUUCCUUUAAGUAUUCUCUCAUCAGGCAGAAAAAUCUGUUCUGAUCAGCUUAAUAUCUGUCACGUCCUGCAAACCAGGAGUAUAAUAUUAAACUCGUUUUUGCCUCAUGACGGAGUGCUAAGAACAUGCUCUGCCUCUGUCACAGGAUGCCUCAUUUUCGAACUCUCUUAAAGUAACCAAAUGCCU